rnacentral:lncRNA from 1 species
GUAUACAUGCAAACACUCCAACUAAGUAUAAAAUGCGUCAAAUAUAUACAAGAUUUUUAUGGUAGAAAAGUGUGCACCUGGAUGGAGUCUAUUGGAUUAAGGUUUUUGGUCUUUCUAACUCUAAUCCGAACAAUUGUCCAGGGACACAUGUGCAGAGAUUAAAGAUGGUUUGGAAGGAUCCAAUCCUCUGAAAAAAUGGAUCUUAACCUGGUCAGAAAC